rnacentral:rRNA from 1 species
ACGGUACAAAGAGCUGCAAGACCGCGAGGUGGAGCUAAUCUCAUAAAACCGUUCUCAGUUCGGAUUGUAGGCUGCAACUCGCCUACAUGAAGCUGGAAUCGCUAGUAAUCGCGGAUCAGCAUGCCGCGGUGAAUACGUUCCCGGGCCUUGUACACACCGCCCGUCACACCACGAGAGUUUGUAACACCCGAAGUCGGUGGGGUAACCUUUUUGGAGCCAGCCGCCUAAGGUGGGACAGAUGAUUGGGGUGAAGUCGUAACAAGGUAGCCGUAUCGGAAGGUGCGGUUG